rnacentral:rRNA from 1 species
GAUGAACGCUAGCGACAGGCUUAACACAUGCAAGUCGAGGGGCAGCACAGGUAGCAAUACCGGGUGGCGACCGGCGCACGGGUGAGUAACGCGUAUGCAACUUACCUAUCAGAGGGGGAUAACCCGGCGAAAGUCGGACUAAUACCGCAUGAAGCAGGGGUCCCGCAUGGGGAUAUUUGCUAAAGAUUCAUCGCUGAUAGAUAGGCAUGCGUUCCAUUAGGCAGUUGGCGGGGUAACGGCCCACCAAACCGACGAUGGAUAGGGGUUCUGAGAGGAAGGUCCCCCACAUUGGUACUGAGACACGGACCAAACUCCUACGGGAGGCAGCAGUGAGGAAUAGUGGUCAAUGGCCGAGAGGCUGAACCAGCCAAGUCGCGUGAGGGAUGAAGGUUCUAUGGAUCGUAAACCUCUUUUAGAAGGGAAUAAAGUGCGGGGCGUGUCCCGUUUUGUAUGUACCUUAUGAAUAAGGAUCGGCUAACUCCGUG